AGAUUGUAGUCUAGAGAGUGCAGAGCUCAGAUUCAGUUCAAAUAAAACUACUUAAGUAAAAUGCUCCUCAAUUUCUCAAUUCUUCCCGGACAAACAUCAUCCAGUUGAAUCGAACCCUAAUCCGAAUCCGAAUCGAAUGACUAAAGAUAAUAGUCGCCCAUAAGAAGAAUGAACUGAAGAUGUUGCUGCUGUCAUAAAUGAAUGAGCAUCGUCGAUUAGAAGAAUGUACUGAAGAUGACUAUUCGUUUCUUACUUCCGUCGAACUGGGGUUACACUAUAAAUCAGCAUUUCGGCUAUGAUGGCGAUUGCAAACGCUUUCAGCUCUCGUGGAUCGGUGUUAGUGUCGGAAUUCAGGCUGCGAAAGCCGCCCUGAUGACACGAUGAUGUACCGCUGAAUGCCCAUGGUGCCCUGCAUCUGGAGUAUGAUUUCGUUUCUUCUAAAUUAUUGAGUAAGGUUAUCUAGACGAUUGUAUAGUCUAGAGAGUCCAGAGCUCAGAGUCAGUUCAAAUAAACUAUUUAACUAAAAUGCUCGUCAAUUUCUCAAUUCUUCCCGGACAAGCAUCAUCCAGUUGAAUCGAACCCUAAUCCGAAUCAGCAUCAAUAGAACCCAUAAAUUGGUUUCUCAUGGAGUCUUUUCGUAAAGAGUCGGGAAAAGACACUUAUUUGCAGACAACGAGAAACGGUCAACAGUUAUUUGCGAGCUCUGAUUUUGAUUUGAAUAGAAAUUGAGCUUAAUCAGAAAGAUUGAUUUCAGAGCUAUUCUUCGAGCUGUAAUCUGUUAGAUCAGAUGCUUACCAAGCCUGUGCCGUCGCGCUUUUAAUUCUAGCCCAAGCCUCAUCAGAGCUCUGGGAGAAUGGUCAGCUUUUAAAUCGCGUAUAAGUUUUCUUAAAAUUUUGUGAACUCCAGAUGGUAGAUUUGGCAUUGUUCUUAACAAGAAUUGGCAAGCAUCGAAAAUAGCAUCAAACACACCUGCCCUUUUACAAGAGUAAAUAGCGUCUCCAAUUUUUUCUAUGUUGUGUAUUAUGUCCAUUGUAUUAGUUUAGGUAUUAGGUUUUUAUUUUAGAAUAAUUAUUUUCAACGCAAAAAAUUUAAAAACUAUAAUAAUUUCUAUGAAUGUGUGAAUGAAUGUGAAUGUUUUUCUAGAAUAAACAAUCGUCUAUAUA